rnacentral:rRNA from 1 species
AGAUUGAACGCUGGCGGCAUGCCUAACACAUGCAAGUCGAACGGGAGUAGCAAUACUCUAGUGGCGGACGGGUGAGGAAUACGUAGGAAUUUGCCCUUAAGUGGGGGAUAACCCGGGGAAACCCGGAUUAAUACCGCAUGACCUCGAAAGAGCGAAGUGGGGGAUCGCAAGACCUCACGCUUUUGGAGAAGCCUACGUCGGAUUAGCUAGUUGGUGAGGUAAUGGCUCACCAAGGCGACGAUCCGUAACUGGUCUGAGAGGAUGAUCAGUCACACCGGAACUGAGACACGGUCCGGACUCCUACGGGAGGCAGCAGUGGGGAAUAUUGGACAAUGGGCGCAAGCCUGAUCCAGCAAUGCCGCGUGUGUGAAGAAGGCCUUACGGGUU